rnacentral:rRNA from 1 species
CCUACGGGUGGCAGCAGUGAGGAAUAUUGGUCAAUGGACGGAAGUCUGAACCAGCCAUGCCGCGUGCAGGAAGACGGCUCUAUGAGUUGUAAACUGCUUUUGUACAAGGGUAAGCCUGAAUACGUGUAUUCCGCUGAAAGUACUUGACGAAUAAGGAUCGGCUAACUCCGUGCCAGCAGCCGCGGUAAUACGGAGGAUCCAAGCGUUAUCCGGAUUUAUUGGGUUUAAAGGGUGCGCAGGCGGGCUGUUAAGCCGGCGGGAAAAAUUCAGGGCUCAACCCUGUUGCGCCGUUGGAACUGGAAGUCUUGAGUGGGCGAGAGGUAUGCGGAAUGCGUGGUGUAGCGGUGAAAUGCAUAGAUAUCACGCAGAACGCCGAUUGCGAAGGCAGCAUACCGGCGCCCAACUGACGCUGAGGCACGAAAGCGUGGGGAUCGAACAGGAUUAGAUACCCGGGUAGUC